CAAUUUCAAGUAGCUACAAAACAGUUCUGCUGGUAUACAGCUGGACGGGAGUGUGUGUCAAUAUAGUGUGUA